rnacentral:misc_RNA from 1 species
UAAUCCCUCCGGGUAGUGGUUUUGUGCCGCCGCCGGGGCCUUUGGCGCUGGGAAGUGGCCGCGGUGCUUUGACGCUUCCGGUUUCCCUCGCUUAAACGUGGAGAAAGCUAGCCGGCAAUGCCCCAACCGCAACGACUUGUAGAAUUUCUAGUGUCGUAACGCGUUUGGAGUUCCCGGCCUCUAAACAAAGGGGGACUCCAGCUCCCCAAGAU